UACGGAGGGUGCAAGCGUUAUCCGGAUUCACUGGGUUUAAAGGGUGCGUAGGUGGGUUGAUAAGUCAGUGGUGAAAUCCCCGAGCUUAACUUGGGAACUGCCAUUGAUACUAUUGAUCUUGAAUACCGUGGAGGUCAGCGGAAUAUGUCAUGUAGCGGUGAAAUGCUUAGAUAUGAUAUAGAACACCAAUUGCGAAGGCAGCUGGCUACGCGAAUAUUGACACUGAGGCACGAAAGCGUGGGGAUCAAACAGG
rnacentral:rRNA from 1 species